AGUGAACGCUGGCGGUAGGCCUAACACAUGCAAGUCGAACGGCAGCACAGUAAGAGCUUGCUCUUACGGGUGGCGAGUGGCGGACGGGUGAGGAAUACAUCGGAAUCUACUUUUUCGUGGGGGAUAACGUAGGGAAACUUACGCUAAUACCGCAUACGACCUACGGGUGAAAGCAGGGGAUCUUCGGACCUUGCGCGAUUGAAUGAGCCGAUGUCGGAUUAGCUAGUUGGCCGGGUAAAGGCCCACCAAGGCGACGAUCCGUAGCUGGUCUGAGAGGAUGAUCAGCCACACUGGAACUGAGACACGGUCCAGACUCCUACGGGAGGCAGCAGUGGGGAAUAUUGGACAAAGGGCGCAAGCCUGAUCCAGCCAUACCGCGUGGGUGAAGAAGGCCUUCGGGUUGUAAAGCCCUUUUGUUGGGAAAGAAAAGCAGCAGGUUAAUACCCCGCUGUUCUGACGGUACCCAAAGAAUAAGCACCGGCUAACUUCGUG
rnacentral:rRNA from 1 species